rnacentral:rRNA from 1 species
UAGGGAAUCUUCCGCAAUGGGCGAAAGCCUGACGGAGCAACGCCGCGUGAGUGAUGAAGGUUUUUCGGAUCGUAAAGCUCUGUUGCCAGGGAAGAACGUCCGGUAGAGUAACUGCUGCCGGAGUGACGGUACCUGAGAAGAAAGCCCCGGCUAACUACGUGCCAGCAGCCGCGGUAAUACGUAGGGGGCAAGCGUUGUCCGGAAUUAUUGGGCGUAAAGCGCGCGCAGGCGGCUAUUUAAGUCUGGUGUUUAAACCUUGGGCUCAACCUGGGGUCGCACUGGAAACUGGAUGGCUUGAGUACAGAAGAGGAAAGUGGAAUUCCACGUGUAGCGGUGAAAUGCGUAGAGAUGUGGAGGAACACCAGUGGCGAAGGCGACUUUCUGGGCUGUAACUGACGCUGAGGCGCGAAAGCGUGGGGAGCAAACAGGAUUAGAUACCCUGGUAGUCCACGCCGUAAACGAUGAGUGCUAGGUGUUAGGGGUUUCGAUACCCGUUGGUGCCGAAGUUAACAC